UGGGGAAUAUUGCACAAUGGGCGCAAGCCUGAUGCAGCCAUGCCGCGUGUGUGAAGAAGGCCUUCGGGUUGUAAAGCACUUUCAGCGAGGAGGAAGGUGGUGAACUUAAUACGUUCAUCAGUUGACGUUACUCGCAGAAGAAGCACCGGCUAACUCCGUGCCAGCAGCCGCGGUAAUACGGAGGGUGCAAGCGUUAAUCGGAAUUACUGGGCGUAAAGCGCACGCAGGCGGUUUGUUAAGUCAGAUGUGAAAUCCCCGGGCUCAACCUGGGAACUGCAUUUGAAACUGGCAAGCUAGAGUCUCGUAGAGGGGGGUAGAAUUCCAGGUGUAGCGGUGAAAUGCGUAGAGAUCUGGAGGAAUACCGGUGGCGAAGGCGGCCCCCCUGGACGAAGACUGACGCUCAGGUGCGAAAGCGUGGGGCAGCAAACAGGAUUAGAUACCCUGGUAGUCCACGCUGUAAACGAUGUCGAUUUGGAGGUUGUGCCCUUGAGGCGUGGCUUCCGGAGCUAACGCGUUAAAUCGACCGCCUGGGGAGUACGGCCGCAAGGUUAAAACUCAAAUGAAUUGACGGGGUCAUAGCUG
rnacentral:rRNA from 1 species